GACGAACCGAGCGAACGUUGUUCGGAAUCACUGGGCUUAAAGGGCGCGUAGGCGGUCCGGUAAGUCCGCUGUGAAAGUCGGGGGCUCAACCCUCGAAUGCCGGUGGAUACUGUCGGGCUAGAGUGCGGAAGAGGCGAGUGGAAUUCCUGGUGUAGCGGUGAAAUGCGCAGAUAUCAGGGGGAACACCUAUUGCGAAGGCAGCUCGCUGGGACGUAACUGACGCUGAGACGCGAAAGCGUGGGGAGCAAACAGG
rnacentral:rRNA from 1 species